AUUGAACGCUGGCGGCAUGCUUUACACAUGCAAGUCGAGCGGAUGACGGGAGCUUGCUCCUGGAUUCAGCGGCGGACGGGUGAGUAAUGCCUAGGAAUCUGCCUGGUAGGGGGGGACAACGUUUCGAAAGGAACGCUAAUACCGCAUACGUCCUACGGGAGAAAGCAGGGGACCUUCGGGCCUUGCGCUAUCAGAUGAGCCUAGGUCGGAUUAGCUUGUUGGUGAAGUAAUGGCUCACCAAGGCGACGAUCCGUAACUGGUCUGAGAGGAUGAUCAGUCACACUGGAACUGAGACACGGUCCAGACUCCUACGGGAGGCAGCAGUGGGGAAUAUUGGACAAUGGGCGAAAGCCUGAUCCAGCCAUGCCGCGUGUGUGAAGAAGGUCUUCGGAUUGUAAAGCACUUUAAGUUGGGAGGAAGGGUUGUAGAUUAAUACUCUGCAAUUUUGACGUUACCGACAGAAUAAGCACCGGCUAACUCUGUGCCAGCCGCCGCAGUAACAC
rnacentral:rRNA from 1 species